CGCCGCCCCCGCCGCCCCCGCCGCCCCGCGCUCCAGCCGGCAGGCCUCGGAAGUCGCCACGAUCUAAUGCUUUUGUUUGUCUGUUUAUUUUUUCAUCCAUCUUCAGAAGUAGCCACGAUCUAAUGCUUUUCUUAUAUUUAUUUAUUUUUCCAUCCAUCCUCAGAAAUCGCCACGAUCUAAUGCUUUCUAUUUAUUAUUAUUCAUUCAUUCAUUCAUUCAUUCAUUCAUGAAAGACACAGAGAGAGAGGCAGAGACACAGGCAGAGGGAGAAGCAGGCUCCACGCAGGGAGCCCGACCUGAGGUGGAACUCGAUCCCAGGACUCCAGGGUCACGCCCUGGGUGGAAGGCAGAUGCUCAACUGCUGAGCCCCCCAGGGCAUCCCCGAUCUUCUGUUUCAAUACAUACGAGCAAAUGAUGAGGCUUAGGGAGAGAAACUUUCCCGAAUGUAUGUACUUUCAAUGGCAAGCUUCGCUGGAAUCGGAUUUAAUACAGGGACCCUCCCCCCCCUCCGCCACACAUACACACACACGUACACACCACGCUUUCUCUUCCAGAGGGUCAUUUCACGCCAGCUGUACUUAAAGGCUUUGUUGAAAGAAGACCAUGAAAUGACAAAAUCCGAAAUCUUCACAGGGCGAGGUUGGGACGUCAAGGGUGUGCAAGCAUCUUAAAAUUGUGGAUUCGUCAACGGGAAUCAGGAUGGAAUUUAGCGCUUUUGGCUGCAUGAUAACGAAGCUAAGUUUAAGAGAACCGGACUCCCUGUAUAGAGAGGGGAGACAGAACUCUGGGGAAAACAGGAUGAUUGCGAGACCAGGACGAUGAUCUACAAAACCAAAACCAUGGUUUGCUGAGUUUUGGAAGAGAGUCUCUGUUGGUUCCCUGGGACUAUCCUGGGUCUGAGUUACUACUGCUUGGGAUGCUCCCGGGAACGUGCAUUGACAGAGCUAAAAGCAGAUUGAUAGAUGAAGCAUAAAACAAGACCAGAUGCUGUGGUUUCCAGGAUGCACUUGGCUUCCCAUCCUUUAUAACCUGGAGCAUUUAUUGCUUUUCAGAUGUACAACAGAGUGAUUCCCCAGCUCUACACGUUCCGCCCUACUCAGCACAGCAAGGGCUCCAUUCCUACAGAUUUAACCUGGCCAAGGGAGAAAACAGAAAGAAGGACAUAUGGUUCACAGAUCGGAGACAUGGAAUAAAACUAUUUCACUGACCAUACGGCAUCCUUAGUCCACAUCAACCAAGGUGGUAUAAAAACAGCACUGCACUUGGUUUGCAUUCUGUGCCCUGAAGCAGAAAUGCCUUUAAUUGUUCAUUGUGAAAUAAACAGAUGUCUACUGGAGAAGAUUAUUAAAAACAUUUUGUGCACUUUGGGAGAACUAGAGGUCAGGACUGCUUGACCUAGCAUCUCAAAGGAAACCCAAGCCAACCCAGCUACCAAGGUGAACAAGGAAGAUGGUGGUCCUAUGAGCAACAGCAGCCAGUGGCCUGGCACUGCACCCUGCGAGGCAGCCAAGACCAAGGGCGGUCUGAAUCCAGACAGGUAAAGGACUGAAGCGCCUGGAAACCGAUGUCUUGUAAUACCUGUGCGGCCGAGCGAUGUCCGCAGUUGAAGUUGAAAUUUUAAACCUUCUGUGCGCAGGUAGAGUCAGCUAUUUAAGAGUUUUCAGCUCUACCACUUGGGUAAGGGGAUCCCCUGAGUACAGGACGAUGUGAAGGGAAACAAAAAUCGAAAACUGAAAUUUCCUUGAGGAACCUCUGUG